CAAUAGCGUAUAUUUAAGUUGCUGCAGUUAAAAAGCUCGUAGUUGGAUUUCGGGUGGGAAUGGCCGGUCCGCCGUUUCGGUGUGCACUUGCUACGCCCACCUUGCUGCCGGGGACGUGCUCUUGAGUUCACGCUCGGGACACGGAGUCGGCGAGGUUACUUUGAGUAAAUUAGAGUGUUCAAAGCAGGCCUACGCUCUGAAUACAUUAGCAUGGAAUAACACGAUAGGACUCUGGCCUAUCUUGUUGGUCUGUAGGACCGGAGUAAUGAUUAAGAGGGACAGUCAGGGGCAUUCGUAUUUCAUUGUCAGAGGUGAAAUUCUUGGAUUUAUGAAAGACGAACUACUGCGAAAGCAUUUGCCAAGGAUGUUUUCAUUAA
rnacentral:rRNA from 1 species